rnacentral:misc_RNA from 1 species
GAUGAAGAACGCAGCGAAAUGCGAUAAGUAAUGUGAAUUGCAGAAUUCAGUGAAUCAUCGAAUCUUUGAACGCACCUUGCGCUCCUUGGUAUUCCGAGGAGCAUGCCUGUUUGAGUGUCAUGAAAUUCUCAACCUUUUCAGCUUUCUUUGUUGAUCAGGCUUGGAUGUGGGAGUAUGCGGGCUUCUCAGAAGUCGGCUCUCCUGAAAUGCAUUAGCGGGACCUUUGUUGCCUGGCUUUGGUGUGAUAAUUAUCUACGCCAUUGUAGUCAAGCAGCUUAAAAUGAGGUUUCAGCUUCUAACCGUCUCCCCUGAGACAACUUUUUGACAAUUUGACCACAAAUCAGGUAGGACUACCCGCUGAACUUAAGCAUAUCAAUAAGCGGAGGA